CUUUUUAAUUUAAAAAUGUCCGUUUCUUACGUAGGUUUCUUCAAGUUAAAUCUUUUGCAUACUAUGUUUAAGACAGGGUUUGUGUAUUAUAUCUGCUGUACUAUCUCAUCAUGACACGGAGCAGUAGCAGCAGUACACUGGUGGGAAAGGUGUUGUGGAGGAAGUGGGUCCUGUCGUCCCACGCAGAGGAGGGUUUUCCGGUUAAAGUUUCCUUUGUGAUUCGGAAGUGAUGUUGUGAUGCCAAAAGCCGUUCAUCAUUAUUGACACUUCAAACAAGUGGCCACCAUGAAAAAACCAUUCACUGCUCCGUCCUGCUGAAGUAGGAAAAGCUCCCCUCUAUGAUCUUUAGUCCAUCGGGACCACAGAAUCCCCAUCAGAACCUCUCGACCAGAAAACACAUAUUUGCAGGAAGUGUGGGAGAGAGAUCCACAACACACAAAACAGCAUCAACCAUGACUGUGUCUGUUAAGUCCAAAGGAGUGUUUUUAUAAAGGAAUAUAACCAGUUACACCAGAGUCACUCCAGUAAAUCUGGAAAAUCUGUUCUGUAACGAAGGUGUUAAAUAAAUCUGACCUGAGUUACAAUGAAAACAUAUCCCUGCAGACUAGUCUAAUCUCAGGCACGUUUGUGAAGAGGCUUAGCCCUACUCAGCUGAACCAGUUUUUCGCUACAAAUGUACCUGCUAGCCUGAAGCACAAUAUUCCUCCCUAGCUGCUGCACUGUGAACCCUAACCUGCUUCAAUUAAACAACAACACAUGCUACAUGCUUGACACAAUGGUGGCAUUUAAACGGUAUGUUAACAGGGUGAUCAUUUCAUAUUUAAAAGGUCUCCAUAUGUUAUCGUCUGAUAGUUUACUUUCCUCCUAAAGAAUAACAGGCCAUUUUCACACAAGUGUUAUUUAAAGGUCACAGCAAAAAGUUUAAAUUGUCAAAUUAGAGAUGGCUAAAUGUAAUGUAGCUGCUUUGGUUUCACAUCCUCAUGUUGUGCAUGCUGUUUCAUUGUUUACUGGGACACUUGACUUGUUAGAAAAACGUGUGUUUUUCCCACUAUAACAAUUCAAAAUGUCUACACUUAAACUAACAACAUUGGAAUCAACAGUUUAUCUGGGAUUUUCAUGUUUGUCUGAUAGUUUACAUGGAAGACGAACAAUAACAUUUUGUGUAAAUGAUAUAUUCAGGCUAAAGAUUAUUUACUUCUCUAUAAAGACAUACUAGGAAUUUGAAAAUUUGUACCAAGAUUCACCUUCUCAACUUUUGUGGACUCAAGUAUUUGCAGCAGUUGCACGCCCUUCUUUGUUUUUUGUUAGACUGUUAAUUGCCAAAAUAUCUACAAACUCCUGAAGUUGAGUGGCCUUUCUUGUUGACAAUGUUUUCUCCCUUGGUGUUGCUCACGCUCAUCUCGGCUGUGUUUCCAUUCUUUUGAGGCACAUUAGUCAUGUUUUUCACAAAGGCCUGUGAAUACACCAUAACAACAAUAACACAACAAAAUCAGCAAAUCUCUUUAACUUAUUGAGACAGAUAUACUUCCAUUUUUCUCCAUUGAAAGUGAAAACCAUGUAUCUGUUAAAAUUAAAGGGACUUUAUGUAACAAUCUGAAACGCGAUGUUGUUCUUGACACCGCUGGCCGUUGGGUGAACUACAUCAGUAACCAUUUGCUCGUUCUCGCUGGCGAUGGUGCUCGUAUGAGUAAGAACAAGUAUCCUGACCAUCCACCGCGACACACAGGAGACACACAUGAUUCACUGGUGUCAUGUUUACAGAGGAGGUAAGUGAAAUUAUACUUUUUAUAAGUUUAUAGUUUGACAAAAUAUACAUUUGAGACUAAACUAUAUUUGAGUCUGGAGUGCUGACACAACACUAAAACAAGAUGUUAAUAUACAGUAGAUGAAGAAAAGAUAGUUUUAGAUUGUUGUUAUAUGAUUAAUGAAUCCUUACCACGUUUCUACCUAGCAUAGCAUUGAACAAUUUCAUCGUCUUUAAAUGAUAUGUUGACUACAUGUACCUUGUAAUUAAUUUACUGUGGGUGUUUGCACAGCAACAUAUUCUUUUUGAUGGUUGAGUACCGUUAAAUAGCUGACUAGCUUUAUCAAUAACCAACGUAGCUUUCACAGAGUCUCCGAUAUGUUAGCACAGGUGUCUUUGUAAUAAACUUACUAAUGGUUACACUAAUGUGUUACCACUACAGCUUAUGUUACUGGG